rnacentral:rRNA from 1 species
UACGAAGGGGGCUAGCGUUGCUCGGAAUUACUGGGCGUAAAGGGAGCGUAGGCGGAUAGUUUAGUCAGAGGUGAAAGCCCAGGGCUCAACCUUGGAACUGCCUUUGAUACUGGCUAUCUUGAGUAUGGGAGAGGUGAGUGGAACUCCGAGUGUAGAGGUGAAAUUCGUAGAUAUUCGGAAGAACACCAGUGGCGAAGGCGACUCACUGGCCCACUACUGACGCUGAGGCUCGAAAGCGUGGGGAGUAAACAGGAUUAGAAACCCCAGUAGU